rnacentral:rRNA from 1 species
CUACGGGCUGCUGCAGUGAGGAAUAUUGCACAAUGGGGGGAACCCUGAUGCAGCAACGCCGCGUGGAGGAUGACGCAUUUCGGUGUGUAAACUCCUUUUAUAUGUCAAGAAAAUGACGGUAGCAUAUGAAUAAGCACCGGCUAACUCCGUGCCAGCGGCCGCGGUGAUACGGAGGGUGCAAGCGUUACUCGGAAUCACUGGGCGUAAAGGACGCGUAGGCGGGUUGGAAAGUCAGGUGUGAAAUCCUACAGCUUAACUGUAGAACUGCACUUGAAACUUCUAAUCUAGAGUAUGGGAGGGGGAGAUGGAAUUAGUGGUGUAGGGGUAAAAUCCGUAGAUAUCACUAGGAAUACCUAAAGCGAAGGCGAUCUCCUGGAACAUUACUGACGCUAAGGCGUGAAAGCGUGGGGAGCAAACAGGAUUAGAUACCCCAGUAGUC